rnacentral:rRNA from 1 species
GACGAACGCUGGCGGCGUGCUUAACACAUGCAAGUCGAGCGGUAAGGCCCUUUCGGGGGUACACGAGCGGCGAACGGGUGAGUAACACGUGGGUGACCUGCCCUUAGCUCUGGGAUAAGCCUGGGAAACUGGGUCUAAUACCGGAUAUGACUCCAUGACGCAUGUUGUGGGGUGGAAAGCCUUGUGCGGCUAGGGAUGGGCCCGCGGCCUAUCAGCUUGUUGGUGGGGUGAUGGCCUACCAAGGCGACGACGGGUAGCCGGCCUGAGAGGGCGACCGGCCACACUGGGACUGAGACACGGCCCAGACUCCUACGGGAGGCAGCAGUGGGGAAUCUUGCGCAAUGGGCGAAAGCCUGACG